GUGCUUACUUUGGCAGCAUAUAUACUAAAAUCGGGAUGACCGAGAAGACGAGCAUGGCCCUUGAAUAAGGAUGACACACAAAGUCAUGCCUUGGCUGAUUUGGCU